rnacentral:tRNA from 1 species
GGAUUGUGGCUCAGCAGUAGAGCGCCUGUCUAGCACGUGCGAGGCCCUGGGUUCGAUUCUCAGCACCA